rnacentral:rRNA from 1 species
CAGUAGCCACGGUAAUGCGUAGGUGGCAAGCGUUGUCCGGAAUUAUUGGGCGUAAAGGGCUCGCAGGCGGUUUCUUAAGUCUGAUGUGAAAGCCCCCGGCUCAACCGGGGAGGGUCAUUGGAAACUGGGAAACUUGAGUGCAGAAGAGGAGAGUGGAAUUCCACGUGUAGCGGUGAAAUGCGUAGAGAUGUGGAGGAACACCAGUGGCGAAGGCGACUCUCUGGUCUGUAACUGACGCUGAGGAGCGAAAGCGUGGGGAGCGAACAGGAUUAGAUACCCCGGUAGUCCCUGUCUCUUAUAC